rnacentral:lncRNA from 1 species
GACCUUUUCUACGUAGAACUUAUUGAACUUUCAUAGAGUGUCAACCAUCAACCAAAAACUAUUCUCAACAAAAAGUUAUUCUCAAAUAAAUACUGCAAACCCCCUUUAUCUCCGACCCAGAGUUUGUCAGAGCAUUGGGAUUAAUGAAAAAUAAAUGUCACAUAAAAACAGGCAAUUGCUCAAAAUUUUGGCUCUCUAUAACAAAUGCUUCAAAAGUUAUGGAGGAAAAUCUGAAAAUUUCCCCCAACUUUACGGCCCUGUAACUCGGAAAGGAAGCCUUUGUGGACAAAAUGCCAUAGAACUUUUUCGUCUUAUUUUUGUCUCAAAAUACCGUGCCUUUUUUUCGUGCACCAUUUUAGUUACACCCUGUAUAAUUAGUAAAGAA